UGGGGAAUUUUGGACAAUGGGGGAAACCCUGAUCCAGCCAUGCCGCGUGUGUGAAGAAGGCCUUCGGGUUGUAAAGCACUUUCGGACGGAACGAAAUCGCGCGGGUGAAUACCUCGCGUGGAUGACGGUACUGUAAGAAGAAGCACCGGCUAACUACGUGCCAGCAGCCGCGGUAAUACGUAGGGUCCGAGCGUUAAUCGGAAUUACUGGGCGUAAAGCGUGCGCAGGCGGUUUUGUAAGCCAGAUGUGAAAUCCCCGGGCUUAACCUGGGAACUGCAUUUGGGACUGCAAGGCUUGAGUACGGCAGAGGGGGGUAGAAUUCCUGGUGUAGCAGUGAAAUGCGUAGAUAUCAGGAGGAAUACCGAUGGCGAGGGCAGCCCCCUGGGUCGAUACUGACGCUCAUGCACGAAAGCGUGGGGAGCAAAC
rnacentral:rRNA from 1 species